GAAAGCUUCACCCACCAUCACGUACCCCUACUCUGAUCCACCUAGUGAUACCCCUACCCCAAUCGACGCAACGGUACCAUUCCCGUGGGAAGGACGACUGCGUUUGCGAGAUGCGUUGACGACCUGCCCUUUUCGUCAUUUGCUCGCAGUACGCCGUACGAAUCAGACGUUCGUAAGUACUUUACAUCGAGCAAUUCGCGUCAAACUAAGUUCAUCCAUCUCAGUAUCAGUGUCCAACUAAUUCAUCCAGCCAAACAGUCAGUGCUUAUUCAUAAAAAUUCAAAAUAACAUUUAUCAUUAAAUUUCAAUUACAUAUUACAGAAAGAAAAGUGAAUUUUCAUCAUCCACAUCAUGUUACUUGAUUGUUUUUCGAAUAUCAUACAAUAUCAUACAUUCGAUCACAAUUUACGUCAAAAAAAGAAAUCAUCAAUUAAAGAGAUAUUAUCAGAAUCAUCCCCGAAUCAAAACAGAUGAUUGAAAUAAAUAUAUAUGAAAAUUAUAUUCUUCUAUUAUAUAAUCAAAAUAUCAUAAAAUAUUAUUAAAAAUAUCAAAAAAUUGUAUAUUAUACACAUACCGAGAUCUGAAAGAAUUCGAUUAUAGAAGAUAUCAAUCUUUGAAAAUUUAUUCUUUUAUCUAAUCGUACUAAGUGAACGAAAAGCAUGCCAUACGUAAUCGAAAUGAAUACAAUGACGGGUAGUUUCGAUUCAUCCGACCAAACAUCAACGACGAACGGUGAACAUUCCAUGCUUGGGCAAACAUCUUCUUCGGCAACUGACAGUUCGCAGUUGGUUAAGGAGUUUUGGAACUGGAAGAUGAAGAACGCAGCCACUGCCUAUCCACUACGUAUACGGAACUAAUCAAGGCCAUGGUUAAAAAUCCGCGAUUUGUGAAUUGCUGGAUACCUUAAACAUUGCGCGAACGAUGGUGCAUGAUAAUCUUACAAAGAUCGGCUACGUCAAUCGCUCUGAAGUAGGGAUUCCGGCAUCAAUUGACAGAGAGCAACUUCCUUAAUCGUGUUUCGACAUGUGAUAUGAAUCCAAAGAUUCAUUUUUGAAGAUAUUACUAUUUAUUCCUUUCAUUAAAAAAAUUCUCUUCGCGACAAAAAAUUUAAUACAAUAAAUGACAUAAAAAUACACCUAGAAUGAUAUUUAUAUAUUAGCGAAUCCCAGAAUUUCUGAAUAGAUAGCAUUAUGCGGCUUCCUGAGAGAUGGAGAAAGGUAAUAAAACAAAAUGGAUCAUACAUAAUUCAAUAAUAUAAUAUAAGACAUAAAAUGUUGUUCAUCUAUAAUAUUAUUUCGUUAUAAAACGAAAGAAAUUUUUACGGAUAAUCUGAUAUUAUUAUACAAAUUUAUAUCUUACCUAUAAAAUAUCAUACUGUUAUAACAACUCGGCAAUGGUUGAUUAACCAUUUCCAUUAGAACCUGCAAUAGCAACUGUUUUAUCAGUGGGAAUAUUCAAAUUAAAAUUUUUCAAAAUAAUGUGAUCUGGCCGAGUUGAAUAGCUAAAUUUCACAUUUUUAAAUUCUAUAUUCCCUGAAAGAGAGACGAAGAGGAAGAGAGGGAGAGGAAGAGAGAGAGAGAGAGAAAGAGAGAGAGAGAAAGAGAGAGAGAGAUCUUUGAACUAUUUGAAUUGCUAUCAAAAAUGCCAUAAGAUCGGCGCACGUUAAUUGCCCAAUUGACAUUAAAUGACCAGCAAAGUAUAAUGUACAAAGCAGAAUAUCACUUAAAAACAAAUUUAUUCUUGCUUGAUACAAACCAAUAUCAAAUCGUCUACAUUCACAUAUAACUCAGAUGCAUGUUCAACUUCUUUAGAAAAUACAAUUGUUCCUCUAUUUUCUGCUGCAAACGUUCUUGCCUGUAAAAAAAAAAGAAAAGAAGAUCAUAAAAAUAAAACACGUCACAAUGGUCAUAUGUCACCGCAAGUAUAUAGGAAUUUGAAUAGAUUUCAAAGUACAGUGUAAUAUUUAUUAUACCAUUAUACGAAUGUUAUAGAACGAAAAAAGAAUGCAAUAUCUUGCACAAUAAUAAAUUUGAAUACAUUUUGACAUAAUUUUAUUGCAACUCUUUCUCCUAUAUGAGAAAAAAUGCGUGAAU